rnacentral:rRNA from 1 species
GUCUACGGCCACACCUAGGCGAAAACACCAGUUCCCGUCCGAUCACGGCAGCAAGUGAAAACCUUUAGACGGCUUCGUUAGUUUCGUACUAUGGUUGGAGACAACAUGGGGAUUCGGGGUGCUGUAGGAU